AUUGAACGCUGGCGGCAUGCCUUACACAUGCAAGUCGAACGGUAACAGGUCUUCGGAUGCUGACGAGUGGCGAACGGGUGAGUAAUACAUCGGAACGUGCCUAGUAGUGGGGGAUAACUACUCGAAAGAGUGGCUAAUACCGCAUGAGAUCUACGGAUGAAAGCAGGGGAUCGCAAGACCUUGUGCUACUAGAGCGGCCGAUGGCAGAUUAGGUAGUUGGUGGGAUAAAAGCUUACCAAGCCGACGAUCUGUAGCUGGUCUGAGAGGACGAUCAGCCAAACUGGGACUGAGACACGGCCCAGACUCCUCCGGGAGGAAGCAGUGGGGAAUUUUGGACAAUGGGCGCAAGCCUGAUCCAGCAAUGCCGCGUGCAGGAUGAAGGCCUUCGGGUUGUAAACUGCUUUUGUACGGAACGAAAAGCCCCGGGUUAAUACCCUGGGGUCAUGACGGUACCGUAAGAAUAAGCACCGGCUAACUACGUGCCAGCCGCCGCCGUAA
rnacentral:rRNA from 1 species